GCGGAGCUCCAGUGGCGCAAUCGGUUAGCGCGCGGUAC
rnacentral:piRNA from 1 species